rnacentral:rRNA from 1 species
AUCGAACGCUGGCGGCAUGCCUAAUACAUGCAAGUCGAACGAGUGGCGGACGGGCGAGUAAUGCUUGGGAAUCUGGCUUACGGACGGGUAUAACGACGGGAAACUGUCGCUAAUGGCGCGCACCAUAGGUUGAGGUCACGUGGGAGUAGGUAGUUGGUGGGGGAACGGCCUACCAAGCCGACGAGGUCUAGCUGGUCUGAGAGGAUGAUCAGCCACACCGGGACUGAGACACGGCCCGGACUCCUACGGGAGGCAGCAGUGGGGAAUCUUCGGCAAUGGGGGAAACUUGACGCAGCCAUGCCGCGUGAGUGAAGAAGGCCUUCGGGUUGUAAAGUUCUGUCGUUGGCGAGGCGUUAUUCACAGAGGAAGCACCGGCUAACUCCGUGCCAGCAGCCGCGGUAAUAC